rnacentral:piRNA from 1 species
UUCAGACCUUUGCCAGACACGCAGUUGAA